GGGUUGUGAGGUUAAGCGACUAAGCGUACACGGUGGAUGCCCUGGCAGUCAGAGGCGAUGAAGGACGUGCUAAUCUGCGAUAAGCGUCGGUAAGGUGAUAUGAACCGUUAUAACCGGCGAUUUCCGAAUGGGGAAACCCAGUGUGUUUCGACACACUAUCAUUAACUGAAUCCAUAGGUUAAUGAGGCGAACCGGGGGAACUGAAACAUCUAAGUACCCCGAGGAAAAGAAAUCAACCGAGAUUCCCCCAGUAGCGGCGAGCGAACGGGGAGCAGCCCAGAGCCUGAAUCAGUGUGUGUGUUAGUGGAAGCGUCUGGAAAGGCGCGCGAUACAGGGUGACAGCCCCGUACACAAAAAUGCACAUGCUGUGAGCUCGAUGAGUAGGGCGGGACACGUGGUAUCCUGUCUGAAUAUGGGGGGACCAUCCUCCAAGGCUAAAUACUCCUGACUGACCGAUAGUGAACCAGUACCGUGAGGGAAAGGCGAAAAGAACCCCGGCGAGGGGAGUGAAAAAGAACCUGAAACCGUGUACGUACAAGCAGUGGGAGCACGCUUAGGCGUGUGACUGCGUACCUUUUGUAUAAUGGGUCAGCGACUUAUAUUCUGUAGCAAGGUUAACCGAAUAGGGGAGCCGAAGGGAAACCGAGUCUUAACUGGGCGUUAAGUUGCAGGGUAUAGACCCGAAACCCGGUGAUCUAGCCAUGGGCAGGUUGAAGGUUGGGUAACACUAACUGGAGGACCGAACCGACUAAUGUUGAAAAAUUAGCGGAUGACUUGUGGCUGGGGGUGAAAGGCCAAUCAAACCGGGAGAUAGCUGGUUCUCCCCGAAAGCUAUUUAGGUAGCGCCUCGUGAAUUCAUCUCCGGGGGUAGAGCACUGUUUCGGCAAGGGGGUCAUCCCGACUUACCAACCCGAUGCAAACUGCGAAUACCGGAGAAUGUUAUCACGGGAGACACACGGCGGGUGCUAACGUCCGUCGUGAAGAGGGAAACAACCCAGACCGCCAGCUAAGGUCCCAAAGUCAUGGUUAAGUGGGAAACGAUGUGGGAAGGCCCAGACAGCCAGGAUGUUGGCUUAGAAGCAGCCAUCAUUUAAAGAAAGCGUAAUAGCUCACUGGUCGAGUCGGCCUGCGCGGAAGAUGUAACGGGGCUAAACCAUGCACCGAAGCUGCGGCAGCGACGCUUAUGCGUUGUUGGGUAGGGGAGCGUUCUGUAAGCCUGCGAAGGUGUGCUGUGAGGCAUGCUGGAGGUAUCAGAAGUGCGAAUGCUGACAUAAGUAACGAUAAAGCGGGUGAAAAGCCCGCUCGCCGGAAGACCAAGGGUUCCUGUCCAACGUUAAUCGGGGCAGGGUGAGUCGACCCCUAAGGCGAGGCCGAAAGGCGUAGUCGAUGGGAAACAGGUUAAUAUUCCUGUACUUGGUGUUACUGCGAAGGGGGGACGGAGAAGGCUAUGUUGGCCGGGCGACGGUUGUCCCGGUUUAAGCGUGUAGGCUGGUUUUCCAGGCAAAUCCGGAAAAUCAAGGCUGAGGCGUGAUGACGAGGCACUACGGUGCUGAAGCAACAAAUGCCCUGCUUCCAGGAAAAGCCUCUAAGCAUCAGGUAACAUCAAAUCGUACCCCAAACCGACACAGGUGGUCAGGUAGAGAAUACCAAGGCGCUUGAGAGAACUCGGGUGAAGGAACUAGGCAAAAUGGUGCCGUAACUUCGGGAGAAGGCACGCUGAUAUGUAGGUGAAGCGACUUGCUCGUGGAGCUGAAAUCAGUCGAAGAUACCAGCUGGCUGCAACUGUUUAUUAAAAACACAGCACUGUGCAAACACGAAAGUGGACGUAUACGGUGUGACGCCUGCCCGGUGCCGGAAGGUUAAUUGAUGGGGUCAGCGCAAGCGAAGCUCUUGAUCGAAGCCCCGGUAAACGGCGGCCGUAACUAUAACGGUCCUAAGGUAGCGAAAUUCCUUGUCGGGUAAGUUCCGACCUGCACGAAUGGCGUAAUGAUGGCCAGGCUGUCUCCACCCGAGACUCAGUGAAAUUGAACUCGCUGUGAAGAUGCAGUGUACCCGCGGCAAGACGGAAAGACCCCGUGAACCUUUACUAUAGCUUGACACUGAACAUUGAGCCUUGAUGUGUAGGAUAGGUGGGAGGCUUUGAAGUGUGGACGCCAGUCUGCAUGGAGCCGACCUUGAAAUACCACCCUUUAAUGUUUGAUGUUCUAACGUUGACCCGUAAUCCGGGUUGCGGACAGUGUCUGGUGGGUAGUUUGACUGGGGCGGUCUCCUCCUAAAGAGUAACGGAGGAGCACGAAGGUUGGCUAAUCCUGGUCGGACAUCAGGAGGUUAGUGCAAUGGCAUAAGCCAGCUUGACUGCGAGCGUGACGGCGCGAGCAGGUGCGAAAGCAGGUCAUAGUGAUCCGGUGGUUCUGAAUGGAAGGGCCAUCGCUCAACGGAUAAAAGGUACUCCGGGGAUAACAGGCUGAUACCGCCCAAGAGUUCAUAUCGACGGCGGUGUUUGGCACCUCGAUGUCGGCUCAUCACAUCCUGGGGCUGAAGUAGGUCCCAAGGGUAUGGCUGUUCGCCAUUUAAAGUGGUACGCGAGCUGGGUUUAGAACGUCGUGAGACAGUUCGGUCCCUAUCUGCCGUGGGCGCUGGAGAACUGAGGGGGGCUGCUCCUAGUACGAGAGGACCGGAGUGGACGCAUCACUGGUGUUCGGGUUGUCAUGCCAAUGGCACUGCCCGGUAGCUAAAUGCGGAAGAGAUAAGUGCUGAAAGCAUCUAAGCACGAAACUUGCCCCGAGAUGAGUUCUCCCUGACUCCUUGAGAGUCCUGAAGGAACGUUGAAGACGACGACGUUGAUAGGCCGGGUGUGUAAGCGCAGCGAUGCGUUGAGCUAACCGGUACUAAUGAACCGUGAGGCUUAACCUUACAACGCCGAAGGUGUUU
rnacentral:rRNA from 1 species